rnacentral:rRNA from 1 species
GACGAACGCUGGCGGCGUGCCUAACACAUGCAAGUCGAGCGGAGCGGCGAACGGGUGAGUAACGCGUGAGUAACUGCCCCCCUCUCUGGGAUCACAGUUGGAAACGGCUGCUAAUACCGGAUAGUGGGGGAUGACUCGCGUCCUAUUAGCUUGUUGGCGGGGUAGUGGGCUACCAAGGCGACGACGGGUAGCCGGCCGGAGCGGGCGACCGGCCACAUGGGGCGGAGAUACGGCCCAAAGUCCGACGGGAGGCAGCAGGGGGGGAUAGUGAACAAAGGGCGAAAGCCUGAUGCAGCGACGCCGAGUGGGGGAUGAAGGCUUUCGGGUUGUAAACCUCUUUCGGUAUCGAAAGGGUAGGUGAAGAAGAAGCGCCGGCUAACUACGUGCCAGCAGCCGCGGUAAUUC